UACGUAGGGCGCAAGCGUUGUCCGGAAUUAUUGGGCGUAAAGAGCUCGUAGGCGGCUUGUCACGUCGGGGUGUGAAAGCCCGGGGCUUAACCCCGGGUCUGCAUUCGAUACGGGCAGGCUAGAGUGUGGUAGGGGAGAUCGGAAUUCCUGGUGUAGCGGUGAAAUGCGCAGAUAUCAGGAGGAACACCGAUGGCGAAGGCAGGUCUCUGGGCCACUACUGACGCUGAGAAGCGAAAGCAUGGGGAGCGAACAGG
rnacentral:rRNA from 1 species